AAUGAACGUUGGCGGCGUGGAUUAGGCAUGCAAGUCGAACGCGAAAGGGUUUACCUUAGUAGCGUGGCGUAAGGGGUAGUAAUUCCUGAGCAACUUGCCCUCAGGUCUGGGAUAUACGGUGGAAACGCCGAGCAAUACUAGACAUCGUCCGAAAAUGGCAUCAUUAAUGGACGAAAGGCGACGCCUGAGGAGAGGCUCAGGGCCUAUCAGCUAGUUGGUGAGGUAACGGCCCACCAAGGCAACGACGGGUAGGGGAUGUGAGAGCAUGAUCCCCACCACUGGCACUGAGACACUGGCCAGACUCCUACGGGAGGCUGCAGUCGAGAAUCUUCGGCAAUGGGCGCAAGCCUGACCGAGCGACGCCGCGUGGAGGAUGAAGGCCUUCGGGUUGUAAACUCCUGUUGGGGGGGAACAAAUCUUGAGUGAACCCCUGAGGAAGCACGGGCUAAGUUCGUGCCAGCCGCCGCAGUAAGAC
rnacentral:rRNA from 1 species